CAGCAGCCACGGUAAUACGUAGGGUGCGAGCGUUAAUCGGAAUUACUGGGCGUAAAGCGUGCGCAGGCGGUUGUGUAAGACAGGUGUGGAAUCCCCGGGCUUAACCUGGGAACUGCGCUUGUGACUGCACAGCUAGAGUAUGGCAGAGGGGGGUGGAAUUCCACGUGUAGCAGUGAAAUGCGUAGAGAUGUGGAGGAACACCGAUGGCGAAGGCAGCCCCCUGGGCCAAUACUGACGCUCAUGCACGAAAGAGUGGGGAGCAAACAGGAUUAGAUACCCCCGUAGUCCCUGUCUCUUAUAA
rnacentral:rRNA from 1 species